GAUGAAGAACGUAGCGAAAUGCGAUAAGUAGUGUGAAUUGCAGAAUUCAGUGAAUCAUCGAAUCUUUGAACGCACAUUGCGCCCCAUGGUAUUCCGUGGGGCGUGCCUGUUCGAGCGUCAUUUACCCCCUCAAGCUCCGCUUGGUGUUGGGCGUCUGUCCCGCUUCGCGCGCGGACUCGCCCCAAAGGUAUUGGCAGCGGUCGUGCCAGCUUCUCGCGCAGCACAUUGCGCUUCUCGAGGCACCGGUGGGCCCGCGUCCAUCAAGCUCACCCCCCCAGUUUGACCUCGGAUCAGGUAGGGAUACCCGCUGAACUUAAGCAUAUCAAUAAGCGGAGGA
rnacentral:misc_RNA from 1 species